UACGGGAGGCAGCAGUGGGGAAUAUUGCACAAUGGGCGCAAGCCUGAUGCAGCCAUGCCGCGUGUAUGAAGAAGGCCUUCGGGUUGUAAAGUACUUUCAGUCGUGAGGAAGGUGUUAAGGUUAAUAACCUUAGCAAUUGACGUUAGCGACAGAAGAAGCACCGGCUAACUCCGUGCCAGCAGCCGCGGUAAUACGGAGGGUGCGAGCGUUAAUCGGAAUUACUGGGCGUAAAGGGCACGCAGGCGGUUAAUUAAGUUGGAUGUGAAAUCCCCGGGCUUAACCUGGGAAUGGCAUUCAAGACUGGUUAGCUAGAGUCUUGUAGAGGGGGUAGAAUUCCAUGUGUAGCGGUGAAAUGCGUAGAGAUGUGGAGGAAUACCGGUGGCGAAGGCGGCCCCUGGGACAAAGACUGACGCUCAUGUGCAAAAGCGUGGGGAGCAAACAGGAUUAGAUACC
rnacentral:rRNA from 1 species